AGGCUCUGCACGCGGCCCCCUAAACGCCGCCGCCCCCGCCAUCUUGAAUUGAGUGUCGUGUGCAGCUUGUGCACACGGCCCCCCACGCUGAGGUCCGCGCGCCGCCAUGUUGCACCAGCACCUGUGCUCUGAAGGGACGCGUGUGAGGCCUCUGCACGUGGGAGCCUGUGAGCCAGUGACACCAGACGAAGCACGAAGGAAAAGAACAAGGAAAGAGAUCUCCACGUUAACAGAUUCUUAACUGGCUGGUGUGAAGAGUCAUUCCAAGCCUCUGCAGGACCAAAUUGACAGCUCUUUAAAGGCGUCUGACGAAAAGCAGCAUUAAUUAAGUCAUUGCCGGACUGUAAUUGUGUUAAGAAGUAAAAAUCUAAUAUGAGAAAAGUUUUGACUGUCAGAUCUGCAAGAGGAAUGCUGCUCUCAUCUAAUGGUUAGAGACCAGAGAUUCUGCUAAACAUCCUACAGUGCACAGGACAGCCCCACAACCAAGAACUUCUCUGGCCCCACAUGUGGAUGGUGCCAAGUUGACAAACCUGGUGCACAUCAAGCUGAAGAGGUGCUGCUUUGCACUAACAUCAUACACAUGAUUCCAUCCACCUGUCCUCCUCCUAUUUAUUUGAAUCAGCAAAAUUCCUUCCUGCAUGUUCUUUUUUGGGAGGCUGGAAUACUGUUUCUGUCUGCCUCAUCCUGAUCUGUCCCACAGAACCCUUUGAGUGAUAGCCUAAUGUUACCUCCUCCAGGAAGCCCUCCCUGAUAUCUUUUUUCUCCCCAAAACUGGAUCAUUUUCUUUUGUUACAAAUUAUCACUGCACUAUUUUCUUCUCCUC
rnacentral:lncRNA from 1 species